rfam:Pseudomonas sp. TTT2014-080ASC scaffold_4, whole genome shotgun sequence.
CAGGAGGGUGACCAGGAUUUUCGUGCAGGGGGUUGAGCGGCAUGGAUGCCGCGAAAGUCGCGAUGGGCCAUGGAUGGCCCUUCGCGACGCACCUCCGGAACGAUAAUUCUGGGCACGAACCCU